CGGUCAUGUUCAAGAGAAAGAUCAUCCAACAACGCAGAAAGCUUCCAUCCACUAGUGAGCUUGAAGAAGUCUUGCUGGCAGCGGAUCCUCCUGAGGAUGGCACUGAAGCUGAUGUUGGUUGGGACGGAGACCUUUCACCGGUUUUACUGCUGCUCCACCUGAUUCCACCCUCUGCUCAGGGCCGAGAGAGACCAGGAAAGGUUUCAGCACCAAGCAGAGAAGCAUCUUGUGGUCUUUAAGAAGACUGGAACAAACAUCCAUCACCACCAGAGCUCAGCAACAUCUCCUGGCUGUUGGAGUUCAGAAGACUGCAACCCACCAGUUCUUCAUCAUCCUGGACAAGAACGCCAUACCUUGCAGGUCGACCUCUUCUCUUGGUGCCUUUGAUAAACUGUUUCAGGCUCAUUUUGUGUUUCUGUCUCCUGAAUUUUUGCCUGACAUAGUUGAGAGCUGCUAUUAAAGUUUUUAAAUGCAUUAUUUUGUGGAAACUUGUGAUUUUUACUUACUUAAUGGUGCUUUUUUUGGUCUAAGUUGACACUACAAAAUAGUAAAUUAAGAGUAAUAUUUACACUCUUCAGUGUUGUUUAACCUUUGGUGUAACAUUUCAUAAACACUAUCCAGUGUAAGCGAGUGUUACAUUUUUACUCUAUUUAGAGUUAAUUUAACUCUGAAAUUCUAAACACUAUGGAAAGAGUCAAUUCAACACAAU